rnacentral:rRNA from 1 species
GAUGAACGCUGGCGGCGUGCCUAAUACAUGCAAGUCGAGCGAACGGACGAGAAGCUUGCUUUUCUGAUGUUAGCGGCGGACGGGUGAGUAACACGUGGAUAACCUACCUAUAAGACUGGGAUAACUUCGGGAAACCGGAGCUAAUACCGGAUAAUAUUUUGAACCGCAUGGUUCAAAAGUGAAAGACGGUCUUGCUGUCACUUAUAGAUGGAUCCGCGCUGCAUUAGCUAGUUGGUAAGGUAACGGCUUACCAAGGCAACGAUGCAUAGCCGACCUGAGAGGAUGAUCGGCCACACUGGAACUGAGACACGGUCCAGACUCCUACGGGAGGCAGCAGUAGGGAAUCUUCCGCAAUGGGCGAAAGCCUGACGGAGCAACGCCGCGUGAGUGAUGAAGGUCUUCGGAUCGUAAAACUCUGUUAGUAGGGAAGAACAUAUGUGUAAGUAACUGUGCACAUCUUGACGGUACCUAAUCAGAAAGCCACGGCUAACUACGUG